CCGGCGAGUUACAUAACAUCAGAAACCAGCGCAACUUUGCAAGCCAGGCAAGCCCAGUCCGUGCUAAUAAACGGCUCACACACCCCCUUCACAAUCCCCUUCUCCGAUAGGUCUAGUCAGAGAUGAAAAAAACAUUAACGAGGGCUUUAAAAAGAUCCACAUAGUUCUGUCCAUCAGUAAAGUCUGGUCACUAGACCAGGGUACGUUCGCCACAUUCUCUAUUCUGACCCACGCUUUCUUCUCAUCUCCGGGAAGACGCAAAUCAAAGUUCUUAGGUAUUUCUUGUUGACUAAAACCCAAACUUGAAAAUGCCCAGCAAGAGGAAGAAGAACAAGCGCCGCAUGAGGAGGGUGGACGCACCCAUCCCCGAAGCUCCCGUUUUGGCGCCUGCUGAAUUUGAGGUCAAAGAGUCGGCCGCCAUUACAACAGAGAUCACCCAGAUGUAUGACCAGCAGUCGCUCUCAGCAGAGGUGGAGGCUGAAAUAGUUUCAGUGGUUCAAGUGGAAGUAGAGAAAGAGCCAGACCCAGAGCCCACUGUUGAGGCUGAGGCUGCCCCUGUAAUAAAAGCUGAUGUUCAACCUGAAGAGGCGGUGGCUAAAGCAGAGUCUGGUCCUGUGGUCGAAGCAGAGUGCAUUCCUAUAAAGCCAGAACCAGAGGUUGUUGUCAAAGCCGAUGCUAGCCCUGCAGUAAAAGCUGAAGUUCAACCUGAAGAGGCAGUGGUAAAAGCAGAGCCCAGUUCUGUGGUAGAAACACAGCCCAUUCUUGUAAUGGCAGAAUCAGUGCCUUUGGUCAAGGCUGAAUGCUGUCCCUUAGAAGCUGAAGUUCAACCUGAAGAAGGAUUGGUAAAAGCAGAGCCCAGUUCUGUGGUAGAAACACAGCCCAUUCCUGUAAUGGCAGAAUCAGUGCCUGUGGUUAAGGCCGAAGCUGCCCCUGUAGUAAAAGCUGAAGUUCAACCUGAAGAGGCGGUUGUUAAAGCUGAGUCCAGUCUUGCGGUCAAAACAGAGACCCUUGCUGUAAAGCCACAACAGGAGCCUGUGGUCAAGGCAGAAGCUAACCUUGUAGCAGAAGCCGAAGUUGAACCUGAAGAGGUGGUGAUCAAAGCAGAGGUUGAGCCUGUCAAGACAGUGGCAGCUGAGGAGGUUCAAGUGGUGAUAAAAAAUAUCCUGGAAACGCUGGAGCCUGUGGAAGCUAUAUUUAAAGAUGCCCCUGUAGCCAAGGUUGCUACCGCAAAGCCUGUUGUAGAGGCUGCGGCCGACCCUGUCACUGACACAGGGGCCGGCGACUUCGUCGUUGUGGAGCCCGCCCCCAUCGUGAAGGCGGCCUUGACCACGCCAGCCGCUGAGGAGCAGGUGCUCGCAGCCCCUCGUGACGAAUCGAAAGCCCCAUCAGAGUCACGGAGCAACGUGGCCUCGGCCCCUGAGACCACCCUUGUCACAGCCGAUGAAGUCAUUGACACUAAAGAGGAAAUUGAAGCCGCGGUGGAAAUUGAGGUAGAAAAGGAUGAAAAGAAAGCCUCUGAUGUCCUUCCUGGAGAUUUGUCCUCCCCACAGCCUAUCAUCUCAGAACUGCAGUGUCACGCUCAGCUUGCAACUGUGCCCGCCCCCAUGGAAAUCCCAGCACAGGUACCGCAGAACGGACACAUGGCAGCCGAGGUGACCAUGGAGGGAUAGAUCUAUGCAG
rnacentral:lncRNA from 1 species